AUUGAACGCUGGCGGCAGGCCUAACACAUGCAAGUCGAGCGAGCGGCGGACGGGUGAGUAAUAUCUGGGAAACUGCCUGAUGGGGAGGGAUAACUACUGGAAACGGUAGCUAAUACCGCAUACCAUCAGAGGUGCCCAGAUGGGAUUGGCUAGUAGGUGGGGGAACGGCUCACCUAGGCGACGAUCCCUAUCUGGUCUGAGAGGAUGACCAGCCACACGGGAACUGAGACACGGUCCAGACUCCUACGGGAGGCAGCAGUGGGGAAAAUUGCAGAAUGGGCGCAAGCCUGAUGCAGCCAUGCCGCGUGUGUGAAGAGGGCAUUCGGGUUGUAAAGCACUUUCAGCUGGGAAGCGUUACCCGCAGAAGAAGCACCGGCUAAGUCCGUGCGAGCAGCCGCGGUAGUAC
rnacentral:rRNA from 1 species